GAUGAACGCUGGCGGCGUGCCUAAUACAUGCAAGUCGAGCGAACAGAUGAGGAGCUUGCUCCUCUGACGUUAGCGGCGGACGGGUGAGUAACACGUGGAUAACCUACCUAUAAGACUGGGAUAACUUCGGGAAACCGGAGCUAAUACCGGAUGAUAUAUUGAACCGCAUGGUUCAAUAGUGAAAGACGGUUUUGCUGUCACUUAUAGAUGGAUCCGCGCCGCAUUAGCUAGUUGGUAAGGUAACGGCUUACCAAGGCAACGAUGCGUAGCCGACCUGAGAGGGUGAUCGGCCACACUGGAACUGAGACACGGUCCAGACUCCUACGGGAGGCAGCAGUAGGGAAUCUUCCGCAAUGGGCGAAAGCUUGACGGAGCAACGCCGCGUGAGUGAUGAAGGUCUUCGGAUCGUAAAACUCUGUUAUUAGGGAAGAACAAAUGUGUAAGUAACUAUGCACGUCUUGACGGUACCUAAUCAGAAAGCCACGGCUAACUACGUG
rnacentral:rRNA from 1 species